rnacentral:rRNA from 1 species
GAUGAACGCUGGCGGCGUGCCUAAUACAUGCAGGUCGAGCGAACGGACGAGAAGCUUGCUUUUCUGAUGUUAGCGGCGGACGGGUGAGUAACACGUGGAUAACCUACCUAUAAGACUGGGAUAACUUCGGGAAACCGGAGCUAAUACCGGAUAAUAUUUUGAACCGCAUGGUUCAAAAGUGAAAGACGGUCUUGCUGUCACUUAUAGAUGGAUCCGCGCUGCAUUAGCUAGUUGGUAAGGUAACGGCUUACCAAGGCAACGAUGCAUAGCCGACCUGAGAGGGUGAUCGGCCACACUGGAACUGAGACACGGCCCAGACUCCUACGGGAGGCAGCAGUAGGGAAUCUUCCGCAAUGGGCGAAAGCCUGACGGAGCAACGCCGCGUGAGUGAUGAAGGUCUUCGGAUCGUAAAACUCUGUUAUUAGGGAAGAACAUAUGUGUAAGUAACUGUGCACAUCUUGACGGUACCUAAUCAGAAAGCCACGGCUAACUACGUG